CAGGGGACGUUGGCCCGUCCCUAAAAAAUUCAUCGGAGUCACCUGAAAAACCUCUAGAGGCCUUGCAGGCUCUGCAGUAUACCCAGAGAGCCACCCGUAAGCUUGUGCGAGACGCCCUGCCAGUGCCCACCUUGGACCCUGUACAUCCUUUCCAGCCUUGGGACUCAGUGUGGGUAAAGAAGUUCAUGACCCAAGGACUCACCGCAACUUGGAAAGGAUUAUACACUGUCGCCCUGCUGACAGCAUCCAGAACUGGCUACACCAUUCCCAGCUCCUGCACCAGGAAACGGCCUUGAUCCCGGCAGCCAGCGGCCCCACCCGUGAGAUCCCUAGUCUGGGCUCCACGCAAUCCAGGAGGAGGCUCGAUGUCUGCAAGAGUGGAACUGGACUUCAGUGAGGACAGUACUGAUGGGGACCAUGGCACUAGGGCACUUGGUAACUGUAAGAACAUUUUUUUUUUCUAGCCAGUGAGAAAGUCCAGGGCCAAGUGGGGCUAGAUGUGAUAGGGGACAGGAGAGCAGGAACCGAAUAGAGAAUGCCCCUAAAAGAAGUGGGGUGAGUAAAUGAAAAUUAAAUGUGCCAAGCUGGCAGUUUA